CGGGCUGUAGCGCAGCUUGGUAGCGCACCUGACUGGGGGUCAGGGGGUCGCAGGUUCAAAUCCUGUCAGCCCGACCA
rnacentral:tRNA from 37 species